UUCAUUAAUCAAGAACGAAGGUUAGGGGAUCGAAAACGAUCAGAUACCGUUGUAGUCUUAACAGUAAACUAUGCCGACUAGGGAUCGGACGACCUCAUAUAAAUGUGUCGUUCGGCACCUUACGAGAAAUCAAAGUCUUUGGGUUCGGGGGGGAGUAUGGUCGCAAGGCUGAAACUUAAAGGAAUUGACGGAAGGGCACCACCAGGAGUGGAGCCUGCGGCUUAAUUUGACUCAACACGGGGAACCUCACCAGGUCCAGACAUAACUAGGAUUGACAGAUUGAUAGCUCUUUCUUGAUUUUAUGGGUGGUGGUGCAUGGCCGUUCUUAGUUGGUGGAGUGAUUUGUCUGGUUAAUUCCGAUAACGAACGAGACCUUCACGUGCUAAAUAGCCCAGUCGGCUUUGGCUGACUGCUGGCUUCUUAGACGGACUAUCAGCGACUAGCUGAUGGAAGUUGGAGGCAAUAACAGGU
rnacentral:rRNA from 1 species